GACGAACGCUGGCGGCGUGCUUAACACAUGCAAGUCGAACGGAAAGGCCCUGCUUUUGUGGGGUGCUCGAGUGGCGAACGGGUGAGUAACACGUGAGUAACCUGCCCUUGACUUUGGGAUAACUUCAGGAAACUGGGGCUAAUACCGGAUAGGAGCUCCUGCUGCAUGGUGGGGGUUGGAAAGUUUCGGCGGUUGGGGAUGGACUCGCGGCUUAUCAGCUUGUUGGUGGGGUAGUGGCUUACCAAGGCUUUGACGGGUAGCCGGCCUGAGAGGGUGACCGGCCACAUUGGGACUGAGAUACGGCCCAGACUCAUACGGGAGGCAGCAGUGGGGAAUAUUGCACAAUGGGCGGAAGCCUGAUGCAGCAACGCCGCGUGCGGGAUGACGGCCUUCGGGUUGUAAACCGCUUUCGCCUGUGACGAAGCGUGAGUGACGGUAAUGGGGAAAGAAGCACCGGCUAACUACGG
rnacentral:rRNA from 1 species